rnacentral:rRNA from 1 species
CACGUAGGGUGCGAGCGUUGUCCGGAAUUAUUGGGCGUAAAGAGCUCGUAGGCGGUGUGUCGCGUCGGCCGUGAAAACCUGCAGCUUAACUGUGGGCUUGCGGUCGAUACGGGCAUCACUGGAGUUCGGCAGGGGAGACUGGAAUUCCUGGUGUAGCGAUGAAAUGCGCAGAUAUCAGGAGGAACACCUGUGGCGAAGGCGGGUCUCUGGGCCGAUACUGACGCUGAGGAGCGAAAGCGUGGGGAGCGAACAGG